CUAUGAUUUGCUGAAUCAUCCUGAGCUUCAGUUUUCUUUUAUAUAAAAUGCAGACAAUAAUUUCUCUCCUGCAGGCUUCUAUUUUAAGUUGAGUGAAAUGAGGUUGAUGAAGUACCUGGCAAAAUGCCUGCCACAUAAUGGGAGUUCAAUAAACUAUUAAUUUUAUAUUUUUACUAAUAACAAUAAUAAUUAUUUUUAUAUACUCAUUAGUUAAUGAUAAUGUACGUUAUAUCUUGUUAAACCAAUCACUCUCAGACAACUGCAACUACUGAGAGACCAAGGACUCACUUCCAGAACAGAAACAUGAGGACAAGAAGAUUUUACUUAUGGUAACUUGGGCAAUUGAAGAAUAGUGAGAUUGCCCUGAAGGAGGAAAAGUGGGAUGAACAUUUCUGAAUGAAGUCUUCUGAAGAAAGGUGUGUCAUGAUCAGAGGGUGAUCGAUGAUGAAAACUCUCUCAGGUUUCCUGGCCUCCUCAUUCUGCCUACUUGUUUGUUCAGUAUCUAUUCCAUGAUGGAUGCUUUCUGCCAUGUGAGUGAGCUUGGGAGCGAUUCCUCCCCAAGUUGGUCCUGAGAUGACUGCAGCCCUCACAACUUCGCUACAGCCUCUUGAAAGACCUUGGGACAGAGGAACUCAGCUAAUUGUGCCCAGAUUCUGAUCUACAGAAACUAUGAGAUAAUAAAUGGUUGUUCUAUUCAGUGGUCAUUUGGUACCCAGCAAUAGGUAACUGAUAACAUAUUUUGGUACCUGGAAGUAGAGUGUUGCCAUAAAAGAAUACCUAAAACUGUAGAAGUGGCUUUGUAUUGAGGCGGAGGGCAGAGACUGAAAUAAUCUUGUGGAGCUUGUUAGAGAAAGCCUAAAUUGCCUGCAAGUGGCUGUUAGUAGAAAUCUGGACUUUGAGGAUAUUACCAGUGAGAGCUCAAAAAGAAGUGAACAAAAUGUUACUGGAAACAGAUAAAAGGAGAAUCUUGAUAUGUAGUGGCAGAACAUUUAGUAACACUAUCACGUGCAGUCUUUCAAACUAGAAAAUGUGUCUAAUUGACCAUAAGACAUAGCUAAGGAGAUUUCCAAGCAAAGUGUUGAAGGUGCUGCCUGGUUUCUUCUUUCUGUCUAUUGUAAAAUGCGAAAGGGCAAGACAUUGAGAAAAGGGUUGUUUAACAAAAGGAGCCAGAACUUGAUGGUUUUGAAAAUUCCCUGCCUCUCCAACCGGCAAGUGAUGUUAAAAUCAAGAAAUGUCUUCUGAGAAAACAUCAAUUCCAUGGCACUGCUAAAAAAGCAUGGUGUACAGAUGAAUCCGAGAGUUACUAUCACAUCUUUGGUCAAGCCCUCAGAAAGAUCAAUGGCGGUACCUCAGAGGAGUAUUCAGUCACACAAAAGAUUUUUUGAAGGGAAGCUUAAGGGUUUAUAUCUGAGAGAUUUAUCAGUGCUGUUUUUAUCUAAUUUGGUAAACUCCAACGGCAUUCACAGAAGGCCCAUAAAGUGAUAGUACAAAGGGAAAACAGGUUGUUGGACUUCCCUAGGUCCCCACAAUUCUACUAGCAGUAAGCAGCUUGAGAAAACUACUCAGCUGAAAACAGAUGUUACCCUUCACGAAAAAGGAACGACUUGGGGAAGAACCAAGAGCCCAGUUAGAGAGGCAGAGAACCAAUUAGAAUUAUUCUCUGGCUUUGGGAACCAAUGAGGGAAAUUCUAACAUCUACCUGGCUGGAUUUCAGAAAUGCUAUGAACUGCUGAUUUACGUUUGGUUUCCUUUUACCCUAUUCCUGUCGCACCAUGGUAUAUCGGGUAUGUGGGGAGGGGAUGGGACCAGAUACCUUGCCUCUUCAGUCUCAAAAGUCUACAGAAGAAGAGGAAUUGUAUAAAAUAAGCUCAACUUAAGGAAUUAUACCUAAGGAGCUUCGUUCAUGUCUGGAUUUGAUUUAGAUGAGCAACUGGAUUUUAGAUGAUGAUUUAGUGAGACCUUGAGAAUGGGUGAAUGUAAGUUUCAUGUGGGAAGGAUGAGACUCAUUGAGGGCUAGAAGGUAAACUAUGGUAACCCAUCUCUAAGAUGGCCCUAAAUCUUCCUUGCCUCUGGAUUUCUGUAUAACAGAACUAUGAGAUAAUAAAUGUUUACAGUUUAAAGCUGUUAAAUUUGGAAAUUAUUUGUUAUAGAGAAAAAUAUAUUACAAUACGCAGA
ensembl:lncRNA